AUUUCCUUAGUACAUACGCAAUUUACUCAUGCACCUUCAAAAAAUUGCCAACAGGUUGUUGCUUCGCUACAAAUAUGUACAUAAUUUCUGAAAAGUUUUUAAAAUGUGACCCCCAUUGUUAAUUUCUACGUGGUAAAUAUUGCCUAGUUUAAAUACAGUGUAGCGACUGAGGCUUAAUUCGGAUCAAUACUUCGUUUUCGACGUAUACAAUUCAUACUCCUGGAAAUUGAAAUAAUUGAGAAUUGAAUAGUAUUCGUGGUAAAUUUAGAUCGCUAAAAUUUACACGGGAAUACAAGCACUUAAAUGUAUACGAGGAGUACACCUAUACUUACAAAAACAAAACAAACGCCGUUACGACGAAUUAUCGUCCUCGGAAUCGUACUUUAACUAAAGUUUAACUCCUUCAAGAAGGCGUCAUAUUUACCACCGUUGUUCAUAUUGAACUUCUAUCAGAUCUCCUUCCCUGAAAAAGGCGUUCGCCGGCAAAAACCCGACCGCCAUCUUUCCUCUUACGAUUUUUCCAGACCUUUUGGAUGCGCGUGGUUUCGUGGUAAGGGUCAGCACGGUUGCUCGGGUUUCAGGGAACACAACUUCAUCGUCCUCCACAUCGCAUGCACCUGUUGCUGCUUGUAUGACAGCUUGGACAGUCGCCGGCGGUGAGGUAGGAGUUGUUGCGCUGGCACGCUGGGCUGGGGUACUCCUGGUAGGGUUCUCGGCAGGUUUUUCAAAUAAUUCUUUAACAAGCGCGGACCUAUUGGCGGCGCUUUGCUCUUUCUUCUUGGGUUUAGCCUUUUUGCGGGGUUCGGGGCUAUUCGGUUGUGGAAUAAUGACAAGUGCAUCGUUCACGUGUCGACAGAAAUCCCAUAAAUCCUCACCAUACAACAACUUGAUGUAAGCUUUAAUUUCCAUAUCUUGUGAUUCCCAUUUCUAUUUAUGGAUGUUGAUCUCCCUGGGGUCAGAGGACACUGUAUGUCCAACGAGCGUAGAGGCGGCUUGGUCUUCACUGCUAUCGAAAAAUAUAGCGGGGUCAAGGAAUUUAUGAUUGUAGGUAUGAUGGGUUUAUUCCGGGCAUGGUUAAGCCAAUUUGUAAUUGAAACUCUGGUUCCUGUUUUCGUAAUCGACUGGAAUUUCGUAAUCGACUGGAAUUUCGUAAUCGACUGGAAUUUCGUAAUCGAAUUUAGUCUGGCCACGUGUAACGCAAAUGCACAUUCCUGGCGCUUCAAUCGGAUCCUGCUUUACAUAAGCUUGAUCAAAAAGUCCUUCGUAUUCCCCAUUAAUGGUUUCAUUGAUGGUAUGAAUGAGACUAUUUCUUUUCUUUCAAGUUAAAAAUUUAAUUUGGCUUAUAAAAUUUAUUUGUUACGUACAAAUUCUCAUACAAAAUUCUGUUGGCUUCAUUCCCCCGAAAAUAUUAAAAAUUGAGUAAUAUUUUUUUUGGAGUAUUGGCUACGAUGAUAAACUAUGUUUUCGAAGUAUAUAACGAUUUUUUUUUCAAAAUUAAAUUCAUCCUACACCCAAACACGCAUUACUUUUCAAUACCUUGUAUUGUGUACCGGCUGUCUCGUCGUUUGAAAGAGUAGCACUAUUUCUAAAUAAUCUGUCAUCAAAUUAAGACACGUAGUUUAGACAGGAUAAUUUAUUAAUUUUUCUCCGUGCCCAAACUAGCUCCAAUGUCUUGAAUAUUUCAGUGUUAAUAAUUUUCUUAAGUAAUCCAUUCGAACCAUUUCGUAUUAUUCUGUGUGCAAAUUGACUUAGAUAUCCAUUCGGUUACGUUAUAUUUGGAUUUCAAUCCUUAUGUUAACCUUUCCAUAUUUUGAAAUAGGUUUUUGCACAAAGUUGAUGGGAAUAUACUAAAUUUGCCGUGGUAUUUCAUUUACGCACGACGCGUAGAUACGUAUCAGCUCACCCACUCACUAAAAAAAUAAACACACGCCUUAAAUAUGUAUACCUCCAUGACACAUAUGUAAGUAGAAAUAUAAAUCUGAAAAUUUGUUAUGUUUAACAUUAAGAAAUUUUUAUAGAUUUACAUAAAUAUACACAGAAAUUACAUAUAUGUAAGUUAAAUACAUAUGUUUCUGUGAAUUUCGUAAACUUAAUGAGUCGAAAAAUUGCAUUUCAUCUUUGCAAUAUUGUGGUAAUUCACAUAGUCCUUAAUUACUGUAAAAUACAAAAAUUUUGUGAAAUAAUUUUGCAAACUUUCAAACGAUCUUACUAUUAGUAAGGUCACAAAAAUGUGUAAGCUAAUUUUGUUUUCAAUUUUGUGAAAGUGUGCAAUUUUACGGAUUUUGCAAUGUUACCUUGGCCUGUGUUAGUUGCCUGAUUACGUUUGAUACUACCUAGAUUAAUUAGUCUAUAAACACGGAAUAUACGUUAAUUAAUGUAUGUAAAUAAAAAAAAGUAUUAAAGAAAUA